AGAUUGAACGCUGGCGGCGUGCUUAACACAUGCAAGUCGAGCGGUAACGCGGGAGCAAUCCUGGCGACGAGCGGCGAACGGGUGAGUAAUGCUUGGGAAUCUGCCCAUUAGUGGGGAACAACCAGCCGAAAGGUUGGCUAAUACCGCAUACGCCCUACGGGGGAAAGCGGGGGAUCGAAAGACCUCGCGCUAAUGGAUGAGCCCAAGUCGGAUUAGCUUGUUGGUAGGGUAACGGCCUACCAAGGCGACAAUCCGUAGCUGGUCUGAGAGGACGACCAGCCACACUGGGACUGAGACACGGCCCAGACUCCUACGGGAGGCAGCAGUGGGGAAUAUUGGACAAUGGGGGCAACCCUGAUCCAGCGACGCCGCGUGUGUGAAGAAGGCCUGCGGGUUGUAAAGCACUUUUAGUGGGGAUGAAAAGCUCAGGGUUAACACCUCUGGGUCUUGACCUAACCCACAGAAAAAGCACCGGCUAACUCUGUGCCAGCAGCCGC
rnacentral:rRNA from 1 species